AGAAUUGAAAAUACAAAUCUACGAAACUAGUAUUUCCUAAUUUUGAUUAAACAGGUUUGUGCAUGACAAGAAUUUUGAACUCAGUUACAUGGAUUUGCAGCAUAUGAAAUAUUGUAAUAGGAAUUUCCAUACACCUUAAUAACUCACUUUCUUCGAAAUCUGUAACUUCUACAAAUACAAGCAAUAUGUUCUUAGAACAAAAUGAAAUUCAGCAAGCAGCAAUUAAAUUGUUUAUAUAAAAUUCAAAGCAAGCUAUUGAAUUGAAGCUUUACACGCCACACUCACACAUGCUAUAAAUAUAAAAGCAAGACAUUAAAAUUCCUAGAUAUGACGAACAC